rnacentral:rRNA from 1 species
UACGAAGGGGGCUAGCGUUGCUCGGAAUUACUGGGCGUAAAGGGCGCGUAGGCGGACAGUUUAGUCAGAGGUGAAAGCCCAGGGCUCAACCUUGGAAUUGCCUUUGAUACUGGCUGUCUUGAGUAUGGAAGAGGUAUGUGGAACUCCGAGUGUAGAGGUGAAAUUCGUAGAUAUUCGGAAGAACACCAGUGGCGAAGGCGACAUACUGGUCCAUUACUGACGCUGAGGCGCGAAAGCGUGGGGAGCAAACAGG